rnacentral:lncRNA from 1 species
UCGUACAGACCAUGAGAGGGUUCCGAUAUGCUAGUCGUACAUAUCACUAGAGGUGGUUCCGACUGGUAGGUGACCUUAGAUUAUGUGCACAGAUGAUUGAUGAGAGAAGCACUAGAGCGUAUUAUUACACCAUUCUUGUCGUACAGACUACUUCAGGUAGUUCCGACUUAUGUGCAGAGUAGUGCCGUACAGGUCACCGUGGUGACUCCGGUUGGUUUGGAUAUUGAGCUAUGGAAUUAACCGUACAUGACCAACUGCAGGGUCUCCGGUU